GUGAGGAAUAUUGCGCAAUGGAGGCAACUCUGACGCAGCCAUGCCGCGUGCAGGAAGAAGGCGCUACGCGUUGUAAACUGCUUUUAACCGGGAAGAAACCCCAGGACGUGUCCUGGGUUGACGGUACCGGAGGAAUAAGCACCGGCUAACUUCGUGCCAGCAGCCGCGGUAAUACGAAGGGUGCAAGCGUUAUCCGGAUUCAUUGGGUUUAAAGGGUGCGUAGGCGGAGCGUUAAGCCAGUGGUGAAAUCCUGCAGCUUAACUGUAGACUUGCCAUUGAUACUGGCGCUCUUGAGUGCGCUUGAAGUGGGCGGAAUGUGCCGUGUAGCGGUGAAAUGCUUAGAUAUGGCACAGAACACCAAUUGCGAAGGCAGCUCACUAAGGCGAUACUGACGCUGAGGCACGAAAGCGUGGGGAUCGAACAGGAUUAGAUACCCCUGUAGUCC
rnacentral:rRNA from 1 species